rnacentral:rRNA from 1 species
UACACUCCUACGGGAGGCAGCAGUGGGGAAUAUUGCACAAUGGGCGCAAGCCUGAUGCAGCCAUGCCGCGUGUAUGAAGAAGGCCUUCGGGUUGUAAAGUACUUUCAGCGGGGAGGAAGGCAAUACGGUUAAUAACCGUGUUGAUUGACGUUACCCGCAGAAGAAGCACCGGCUAACUCCGUGCCAGCAGCCGCGGUAAUACGGAGGGUGCAAGCGUUAAUCGGAAUUACUGGGCGUAAAGCGCACGCAGGCGGUCUGUCAAGUCGGAUGUGAAAUCCCCGGGCUCAACCUGGGAACUGCAUUCGAAACUGGCAGGCUUGAGUCUUGUAGAGGGGGGUAGAAUUCCAGGUGUAGCGGUGAAAUGCGUAGAGAUCUGGAGGAAUACCGGUGGCGAAGGCGGCCCCCUGGACAAAGACUGACGCUCAGGUGCGAAAGCGUGGGGAGCAAACAGGAUUAGAAACCCGAGUAGUCCC